rnacentral:rRNA from 1 species
AUUGAACGCUGGCGGCAUGCCUUACACAUGCAAGUCGAACGGUAACGGGCCUUCGGGUGCCGACGAGUGGCGAACGGGUGAGUAAUACAUCGGAACGUGCCCGAUCGUGGGGGAUAACGAGGCGAAAGCUUUGCUAAUACCGCAUACGAUCUACGGAUGAAAGCAGAGGACCGCAAGGCCUUGCGCGGACGGAGCGGCCGAUGGCAGAUUAGGUAGUUGGUGGGAUAAAAGCUUACCAAGCCGACGAUCUGUAGCUGGUCUGAGAGGAUGAUCAGCCACACUGGGACUGAGACACGGCCCAGACUCCUACGGGAGGCAGCAGUGGGGAAUUUUGGACAAUGGGCGCAAGCCUGAUCCAGCCAUGCCGCGUGCAGGAUGAAGGCCUUCGGGUUGUAAACUGCUUUUGUACGGAACGAAAAGCCUUCUUUUAAUACAGGAGGGUCAUGACGGUACCGUAAGAAUAAGCACCGGCUAACUACGU